rnacentral:rRNA from 1 species
UCGAGAAUUUUUCUCAAUGGGCGCAAGCUUGAAGGAGCGACGCCGCGUGGGGGAUGAAGGGCUUCGGUCUGUAAACCCCUGUCAUUUGCGAACAAACCUUUCUGUUGAAUAAACGGAGAGCUGAUUGUAGUGAAAGAGGAAGGGACGGCUAACUCUGUGCCAGCAGCCGCGGUAAUACAGAGGUCCCAAGCGUUGUUCGGAUUCACUGGGCGUAAAGGGUGCGUAGGUGGUGAGGAAAGUUGGGUGUGAAAUCUCCGAGCUCAACUCGGAAACGGCAUUCAAAACUACUUUGCUAGAGGGUCGGAAGGGAGUCUGGAAUUCUCGGUGGAGCGGUGAAAUGCGUAGAUAUCGAGAGGAACACCAGUGGCGAAAGCGAGUCUCUGGACGACACCUGACACUGAGGCACGAAUGCUAGGGGAGCAAACA